CAGUAUAUAUUCCAGUAAAGGAUUAUAUUUAGGCAAGAAAUAUAGAGAUUGAUGCUGUUAGGUUUCGUGCAACAACUUCCCAAGCGAUGUCACCUCUGAAUACAGUAUCAUGAUGCACUACAUGGUUUCAGAUAAAGGAAGGAAGAUGUUUUAGAGAGAGAUAAUUCCCAAAACAAUGUGAGAUUACAGAUUAUGGAAGAUUGCUGGGCAUUAUGACAAACAAAGGUAUCAAGGAGAAAUAUGAACAAUGUAGGUCAGCAGUCAAAAUCUCUCACCUUAUUCAACUCUUAGCAGCAUGUUCCUAUGGAUCCAGAUGCAUUAAAAGAUUUCUAUUGUGUUGCAACCAAUGGGAUAGGCUAAGAAUCACACUGUUUUGCCUCUGUCACCAAAGACUGAAAUGUUUACUUCAAAAGACCUUCACCUGCAGUUAUUAAUAUUUCAGCAAAGUUCGUGGCCCAAAAAAGCUUGCAGUUGAAAAGGAAAGGAAAGAUAAAAAAGAUUCACUAUGUCAUAGAAGCUAGCCUUACUAGAAGUGUGUAGAAACUUUUGUCAAGGUUAAAGAAAUCAUUUUGUAUAAACAGAACUAACAGUUAUUGCUCAAACUUUUUAACAGGGAUAAUUUAAACUGGUGAUUGUUAUCGUUAUAUGUUGUACAUUUUGAUACUAUUUCCAAUUAGAUUAUGCAAAAAUAUGUCAUUUGUAUCAGAUAAUGCUUAUAAGUGUUAAUGUGAGUUUAAACAGAGGAAAUUCGGACUGCAAUUUUUGGGGAAUUAGAUUAUGAAAAUACACUACUUUUAUAUAGGAUUUAGAUCCUUUUGUCCUAUAUUCUAAUACAUUGUACAUUCAAUGGUUAAAAGUUCCUUGUAUAGAUAUUUAAUGGGAAUUUAUUGUUCAUUUUUUCUGCCAUCAUUCAGAAUAAAAAAGUAAUGUUUAAAGGAAAAUAGGAAAUCGGGGUGAUAAUUAUCUUAAUUAUUAAAGACCGAUUCAUAAUUUUCUUUAUAUGCAUGAUUUUUAGUUUUAUUUCAAGAUAGUAAUAUAUUUAAAAUCAAAUAAAAUAAUUUUUUUGUUUGAUUUUUUAUACAUCAACACAGAUAAAUGUGCUUUA